rnacentral:rRNA from 1 species
UUGAUCCUGGCUCAGGAUGAACGCUAGCGGCAGGCUUAACACAUGCAAGUCGAGGGGUAUGCUUCUUCGGAAGCAGAGACCGGCGCACGGGUGCGUAACGCGUAUGCAAUCUACCUUUUACAGAGGGAUAGCCCAGAGAAAUUUGGAUUAAUACCUCAUAGCAUAGCAACUUCGCAUGAAGUCACUAUUAAAGUCACAACGGUAAAAGAUGAGCAUGCGUCCCAUUAGCUAGUUGGUAAGGUAACGGCUUACCAAGGCUACGAUGGGUAGGGGUCCUGAGAGGGAGAUCCCCCACACUGGUACUGAGACACGGACCAGACUCCUACGGGAGGCAGCAGUGAGGAAUAUUGGACAAUGGGCGCAAGCCUGAUCCAGCCAUGCCGCGUGCAGGAUGACGGUCCUAUGGAUUGUAAACUGCUUUUAUACAGGAAGAAACCCUGGUUCGUGAACCAGCUUGACGGUAUCGUAAGAAU